AGCUCAAUCAUUGUGCAGCACUGUUUCAAACCCUUCUGCAAACUUCAAAUUAAGGGAGGAUCCUUUAUCUGGAAGCUCCCUGAAAGCACCACGCUCCUUCUUCUCCCUAUCUUCGUUCCGGAGCAAGGAAUCCAAGCCUCGGUGACGGUGGUUUAUCUGGAAGUGCAAAGUUAUGAUGCUCUACGGCUUAGGUACAUACUGUUACAAUUUUCCAAUAGAUACAACACGGCCGCUUUAACGCACAAUAUGCAUCCUUCCAUCUCCGUUCAUAUCUACAGGUUCUCAACUGCUGUCAUCUGUUAGUUUGUUGUAGAUUUGGUUGCCUAGAAUCAGUUAGGCUAUAAAUUGUCAGUUAGCAUGGAAUAUGUUGUAUGGCCGGAAGUUGUUGGCCCUUUUCAACUUGUGGUAUGUCUUUAUAUAUCUAAAUCUGUUGGAACAGAAACGAGCAAGAGUAUGGUAGUAAGCAAUUGAUUUGUACAAAGAGAAUCCGUGCUGUGUAUUCUUCUGUUUCUUC